rnacentral:rRNA from 1 species
CCCUGGCUCAGGACGAACGCUGGCGGCGUGCCUAAUACAUGCAAGUCGAGCGGAAUGAUGAAGAAGCUUGCUUCUUCUGAUUUUAGCGGCGGACGGGUGAGUAACACGUGGGCAACCUACCUUGUAGAUUGGGAUAACUCCGGGAAACCGGGGCUAAUACCAAAUAAUCCAUUUUGCUUCAUGGCGAAAUGUUGAAAGGCGGCUUCGGCUGUCACUACGAGAUGGGCCCGCGGCGCAUUAGCUAGUUGGUAGGGUAACGGCCUACCAAGGCGACGAUGCGUAGCCGACCUGAGAGGGUGAUCGGCCACACUGGGACUGAGACACGGCCCAGACUCCUACGGGAGGCAGCAGUAGGGAAUCUUCCACAAUGGACGAAAGUCUGAUGGAGCAACGCCGCGUGAGUGAAGAAGGUUUUCGGAUCGUAAAACUCUGUUGUAAGGGAAGAA